ACGGCGAAUGCCGGUGGAACUACAUUAAUCAUCUGGUCGCGGGUUCAAGUCCCGCCAUCGUAUCCCGCGAUGUAGCUCAGUUGGAUAGAGCAGUUGAAAACGUUUCACCCCGGUCGCUGUUUG
rnacentral:Y_RNA from 1 species